AUUGAACGCUGGCGGCAGGCCUAACACAUGCAAGUCGAACGGUAACAGGAAGCAGCUUGCUGCUUCGCUGACGAGUGGCGGACGGGUGAGUAAUGUCUGGGAAGCUGCCUGAUGGAGGGGGAUAACUACUGGAAACGGUAGCUAAUACCGCAUAAUGUCGCAAGACCAAAGAGGGGGACCUUCGGGCCUCUUGCCAUCGGAUGUGCCCAGAUGGGAUUAGCUUGUUGGUGGGGUAACGGCUCACCAAGGCGACGAUCCCUAGCUGGUCUGAGAGGAUGACCAGCCACACUGGGACUGAGACACGGUCCAGACUCCUACGGGAGGCAGCAGUGGGGAAUAUUGCACAAAGGGCGCAAGCCUGAUGCAGCCAUGCCGCGUGUAUGAAAAAGGCCUUCGGGUUGUAAAGUACUUUCAGCGGGGAGGAAGGGAGUAAAGUUAAUACCUUUGCUCAUUGACGUUACCCGCAGAAGAAGCACCGGCUAACUCCGUG
rnacentral:rRNA from 1 species